CAAUAGCGUAUAUUAAAGUUGUUGCAGUUAGAACGCUCGUAGUCGGAUUUCGGGGCGGGCCGACCGGUCUGCCGAUGGGUACGCACUGGUCGGCGCGUCCUUCCUUCCGGAGACCGUUCCUACUCUUAACUGAGCGGGGGCGGGAGACGGAUCGUUUACUUUGAAAAAAUCAGAGUGUUUCAAGCAGGCAGCUCGCUCUUGCAUGGAUUAGCAUGGGAUAAUGAAAUAGGACUUUGGUGCUAUUUUGUUGGUUUCGAACACCGAAGUAAUGAUUAAAAGGGACAGUCAGGGGCACUCGUAUUCCGCCGAGAGAGGUGAAAUUCUCAGACCAGCGGAAGACGAACUACUGCGAAAGCAUUUGCCAGGGAUGUUUUCACUG
rnacentral:rRNA from 1 species